CGUGUAGGUGGUCUGGUAAGUAGGGCGUGAAAGCUCCUGGCUCAACUGGGAGAGGCCGUUCUAAACUGCCGAACUAGAGGAUGGUAGAGGGAGGUGGAAUUCCGGGUGUAGCGGUGGAAUGCGCAGAUAUCCGGAGGAACACCAGUGGCGAAAGCGGCCUCCUGGACCACUCCUGACACUCAGACGCGAAAGCUAGGGUAGCAAACGGGAUUAGAGACCCCGGUAGUCCUAGCCCUAAACGAUGUAGACUUGGCGUCGGUGGUUUAAACGCCAUCGGUGUCGAAGCUAACGCGAUAAGUCUACCGCCUGGGGACUACGGCCGCAAGGUUAAAACUCAAAGGAAUUGACGGGUCCCCGCACAAGCAGCGGAGCGUGUGGUUUAAUUCGUUGCUACACGAAGAACCUUACCUGGGUUUGACAUAGAGGUGGUAGGGAAGCGAAAGCGGACCGACCCUUCGGGGAGCCUCUACAGGUGUUGCAUGGCUGUCGUCAGCUCGUGUCGUGAGAUGUUCGGUUAAGUCCGCUAACGAGCGCAACCCUCGCUGUGUGUUACAAGUGUCACACGGUACUGCCGGUAUUAAGUCGGAGGAAGGUGGGGAUGACGUCAAGUCAGCAUGACCUUUAUAUCCAGGGCUACACACACGCUACAAUGGUCAGUACAAUAGGUUGCCAAGCCGCGAGGCGGAGCCAAUCCUAAAAAGCUGGCCUCAGUUCAGAUUGCAGUCUGCAACUCGACUGCAUGAAGUUGGAGUUGCUAGUAACCGCAGGUCAGCUAUACUG
rnacentral:rRNA from 1 species